rnacentral:rRNA from 1 species
GACGAACGCUGGCGGCGUGCUUAACACAUGCAAGUCGAACGGAUUAGCCCUACUUGUGUUGCGUGCUCGAAUGGCGAACUGGUGGGUAACACGGUAGUAACCUGCCCUUGACUUUGUGAUAACUUCAUGACACUGGGGAUAAUACCGUAUACGAGCUCCUGCUGCUUUUUCGGGGUUAGAAGGUUUCGGCGGGUGGGGAUUGACUCGCGGCUGAUCAGCCUGUUAUUGGGGUAGUGGCUUACCAAGGCCUUGACGGGUAGCCGGCCUGAGAGGGUGACCGGCCACAUUGGGACUGAGAUACGGGACGGAGUAGUACGGGAGGCAGGAGUGGGGACUAAAGCAUAAUGGGCGGAAGCCUGAUGCAGCAAGGACGCGUGCGGGAUGAAGGACUUCGGGGUGUAAAACGAUGUGGCAGGUGACGAAGCGUAAGUGACGGUAAUGGGUAAAGAAGCACCGGCUAACUACGUG